rnacentral:rRNA from 1 species
UACGUAGGGAGCAAGCGUUGUCCGGAAUUAUUGGGCGAAAAGAGCUCGUAGGCGGUUAGUCGCGUCUGCUGUGAAAGUUCGGGGCUCAACCCCGGAACUGCAGUGGGUACGGGCAGACUAGAGUGCGGUAGAGGAGACUGGAAUUCCUGGUGUAGCGGUGGAAUGCGCAGAUAUCAGGAGGAACACCAGUGGCGAAGGCGGGUCUCUGGGCCGCAACUGACGCUGAGGAGCGAAAGCGUGGGGAGCGAACAGG